rnacentral:lncRNA from 1 species
AAAGAGACAGGGUCUCACUCUGUUUCCCAGUCUGGAGUGCGGUGCUGUCAUUAUAGCUCACUGUAACCUUGAACUUCCAGGCUCAAUCGCUCCUCCCACCUCAGACUCCCAAGUAGCUGGGACUACAGGUGUGUGCCACCAUCCCCAGGUAAAUUAAUCACUAAUGUUUAUUACAAGCCUGGUUUGUGCCAGGUGAUUAACAUGCUUCUAAUACGGUUGCUAGUCCUUACCAUGGCUGUGCAUGGCAAAUACUGUUAUUCCCAUUUUACAGGAAGUGAAACAGAGAGGUUCAGUGUCUUGUCUGUGCUCACACCACCAGUCACAGAGGAGUUGGGCUUAGCUCUGGCAGUCUCUCAAGGGCGCCCUGUCUACUCCCCACUCUGUUUGCACAGCUAUUGGCUUUGCUCCAUCACCAGGGACAGAAGACCUGGAGCUAAGGUCUCUGCCCUCACAAUGUUUCUUCCAGCCUUGCCUGAGGAUGAGAGGGAAGCAGGAGCAGCAGAAAGAAG